CGCGCUGCUCUUCUUCUUUGAGGCCUAACUGUGUUCCGUUCAUCCACCCAUCCACCUGCCCGCCUGGGUUUAAACGGCAGCGGCCGCCGCCAUCGGGUGCCAUUCAUGCGGGCGCUGUGGGAAAGGCCGAACUAAAGCCGUGGUGCGAGGGCAUCAGCGACGGGGCUGAUGCGAUGGAUCUCCAUGCAAGGAUCUCCAUGCGACCGAGCUCUCGCCCACGUCCCCCCUGUGCUUUUCUCUUCUCCGAGUCAAAGUGGCUCCGUAAGAAUACUUGUUAGCGUGGCGGCCGGUUGCAGCGGCCAUCUAUGAUAUGCUCCUGCGUUGCCCUGAUGUAGACGGAUUGAUGAGACGGCCUCCAUAGCAAGGUGAAGCCUAAACUAAGCAACAUGCAUGAGGAAGGCAAGCGUGGUGAAGAGCUUGGGGGCGACCAUGAUGUGGGCAGAAGAAAGGGUGCAUAUAUAUGAGAUUAUUUAUUAGUUUAUUACCCGUGCGUCUGCACAUAUGAAAGGUAAACAAGUUCACUGCAAGGCACGUUCUAAGUUUUAUCUUUGCAUAGGUUCAUUGGCUUAUGUCAUUUGAUCAGUUUUUUCUUGGCAUGCAUAAUUGCAUAACCAUCCUGACUUUUCCAAGAAAAUAGAAUGUCUACAAUUAUAAGAGUAAUCACAAAAAUAGACAAAAGUGGCAAGACUCGGUACGAAACAUUGCACACGAUCUUUACACCUAGGACAGCAAAAAUAUGACCUUCUGUUUAUGACACUUAUUUAUGUUUAAAUGUUGGGUGAGAUUACUAAUGUAUAUAUUGAAUGUGGGGAAACUGAACAUAUGUUGUACUCGGUGCAUUUCAUGAAAUAUAUUCGCUAAUAAACCCAUACUAUAUUUAUCACCCCGUGGCAAUGCACACGUAUUUCGCUCAAGUUUUACGUGGGCUGCUCGAGCUGCACGCAAUGUGGAGACCCGACGCUGCCUCCCACGAGCUGAUGCUGUUGCAUGUCAUGGCGGGGACAGGCGUGUGUGCACUACUUGUGCAGGGCGUCGAUGUGGAGCCCCCGAUCGGAAGGGACCCCACUGGAGAUGGGGUUGGGAGCAGAAGCGGAGGUGCUGGACCCGUCUCUUUGCAUAGCGGCGCUAAUUUGCUCGUCCUUGAAGGUGUUGGUACAUACGUGCUUUGAGAAAAACAAUUGUUAGGUCGUUUUGGUCUUUAUAUACGACUUGUGUUUGUGAGAAGCUUAUUCGAUUAAAGGUUAUAAGAUACAUUGCAUUGCCUUUGUUGCACUCGGGGAUACCAUGGUCAUGAGAAAUCAAGCUCCAAGCAAACUCAUCGUCCAUGUAAAAUAGUUCUCUGGGUGGUCCAUAUUUUCCGGCAUAUUUAGCUCAUUAUCUGGCCAAACAUUUUAACUUGCACAUCUUAAUCAAACAAAUGUAUGAUUUUUUUAUCUAGCAGCAGUACAACUCUUUAUUACUGAAAUGGUUAGACAUCCUUUAAGGUUGAGAUGUAUA